UCUCAAACAAGUGCAGCUUUUACAAGAAUGUUUACAUCCAGCAUCAAUGAGUAGACGAGGAAGGAAACCGAGAAGUAGAGGGAACUCUUUUUCCCCCUCGAUGUCUAACCUUAUUAGUCGGAGUAACUAGUUGGGAUGGUAAUGCGAGUGAGAUUCUGUUUAAAGGUGAAAAUCCAGAACCUUGUCGCGAUAAGAAGGAUUGUCUACUCUGAAGGCUUUAGGUGGUGCUCAAACAAAGAUGCCAUCUCAAUAGCAGUCAAUGCAGUUUCGGAACCUUUAUUCCCAGCCUUCCCACCAACGCGAUUGAAAGCCUGCUCCAAGGUAUCACAUGUCAAAACACCAAAUAUGCAAGGAGUACCUGAAUUUAGACCUGCUGAAAGUACUCCAGAUGUGGCAGCAUUAACGACUGCAUCGUAG
rnacentral:misc_RNA from 1 species